rnacentral:rRNA from 1 species
UACGUAGGGGGCAAGCGUUGUCCGGAAUCAUUGGGCGUAAAGAGCGUGUAGGCGGCCCGAUAAGUCCGCUGUGAAAGUCCAGGGCUCAACCCUGGGAUGCCGGUGGAUACUGUCGGGCUCGAGUCCGGAAGAGGAGUGUGGAAUUCCUGGUGUAGCGGUGAAAUGCGCAGAUAUCAGGAGGAACACCAGCGGCGAAGGCGGCGCUCUGGGCCGGAACUGACGCUGAGGAGCGAAAGCGUGGGUAGCAAACAGG